GAGCCAGCUGCUCGCCAGCACCCUGGAGGGGUGCAAUGUCACGCUGCAAUGCCAGGGCUCGGGGAAAGGAAAUGUGAGCAUCUCCUGGGGGAAAGGGAACCCGCUCCAAGAGCUGGAUCCGGGUCGGCACCAGCUCUCCCCUGACGGCAGGAUGCUCCAGCUGUCUCUGCUGCCCAGCUCCCUGAACGCCACCUACACCUGCACGGUCAGCAACCCCGUGGAUCAGAAGAGCGUCGCCUUCGACCUGCAGAGCAUCUGCCGCAGUGGAGAUGCAGACGGGUCCUUCUCGAAGCCGGGGUACAUCGUGCUGACAUUCUUCCUGUUAGUGCUAAGCCUUGGGGCUGCCGUCUGGUGUUGGCGGAUGAACAACGAGAAGUCGGCUGACCCGGCUGCCACCCCCACGGGCCCGGUGGAAGAAAGUCCGUCCGACCCGCAGUACUCUGAGAUCUUGAGGAGUCCCCCAGAAGGUAAUGACCAGGCCUUACGUCACCUGGAAAAUAACACGGAGCCGAGCCCACAGAAAGAGCCUCUAAUCACCACGAUCUACGACCAAAUCCACAGGACCCCCGAGAAUACAUCGGAGGAGGUCACAUAGGCCCUCAGGAACCAGAUGAGGUGGCGUAUCAGAGCUUACCAAGGGCUUUGAAGUGCACCGUGUGCCCCACUCAAACUCUGUAGCUGAACGGUCUCCGUUCCACCCACGAACCCGAAUGGAAGAAGACCCCCUUCUCCAGCUCCGGAGCCCGCCUUGUGACGCUUCCCCACCACCCCCCUGUUGUUUCGGAACCUCGUGUGUGAAGCCCCCAGCAGCCGUUUUGGGAAGGAGGGACCCGAGGGAAGGCGGAGGGGGCGGACGCCAGGAGGGAACCGGACAUGCAGCUUCAGCGCCUGCGAAAGCAAAAGGGCCGUGGGGGCUGAGGCGAGGGCCGCGUGCAGGGGGAGAGGAGGAGAACGCAGCCUGGUUCCCCCCCCCCCCCACAAGAGGACGUUAGCCAACCCGAGGGAGCCCAUCUUUCCGUGGUUGGUGUCCUGACCUCCAGCAGGAGCAGGGUCCCGACACCAGCCGUGGAGCAGGCGGGUGGCAAGAGGGAACGCGCCUCGGUGCAGAAUGGCCCCCGCCGAGAAGGAAACCACCCACGUCGGAGUCUGGCCCGCUAGCUGCAUGAGCCAACAUCGGAACCUGGGCUCCCCCGGGGCCCGAGGCACCCUUCUGGCUGGGCCGUGGGCUGGGAGGGACGUGGCUGCACAAUGUAUUUAUUUAUCUAUUCCGUUUGAUAACGCUAGCCCUGCGGGGUCGAUGGACGUGUGACUGAGACGCUGGAGCCGGGGGCCUGUUCUCUUUGUGCUCCUGGGAGGAAGGGAAGAUUCCUAAAGUAGAAAUAGGAACAGAUGGAGC
rnacentral:lncRNA from 1 species